rnacentral:tRNA from 2 species
GGGUCGAUAGCUCAAUGGUAGAGCAGCGUCCUUUUAAGUCGUUGGUUGAGGGUUCGAAUCCCUCUCGACCCACCA